rnacentral:rRNA from 1 species
AUGUGUGUGCCAAAAGAGAGAGGAGGAAUGGGCUUCUGAUAUGUCCAUAGCUUCAACUUGGCAAUGCUAGCAAAACAGUGUGGGGGGCUUAUUGAGAAUUAUGGAUCCUUGUGUGAUCGCGUCCUUACAACAAGAUACUACCCUACGGGAGACAUUCUCAACUGUGAACUUAAAAAAGGAUCCUCUUACAUAUGGCCAAGUAUUUGGGCGGGUGUCUAGACUUUCAGAAAGGGGUGCAUCCGGAGAGUGGGAGACGGUGCAAAGAUAAAUAUAAUGAAUGACUACUGGAUACUGUACGAUGCUUCAAGGAAAAUCAUCACUGUCCGAGGAAACCAAGUGCUAACCCGGGUAUGUGACUUAAUAGACCCAAUUUCUGGAGAGUGGGAUGAGCAGUUGAUCCGUGGAAACUUCUACCACAUUGAUGCCGAGCGCAUCUUGCAGAUCCCUUUAUUUCAUGCGGAGACAGAAGAUUUUGUAGCGUGGCAAUUAACAAAGAACGGGGUUUUAUUGGUUCGGUCUGCGUAUUAUAAACAAUGGGAGGCAACUUUUGAUGAGAAUGAUCUGGGCCUAAUACAUUACUCCACAGUGCAACACCCAAUUUGGCGCAAGUUAUGGAGUCUAAAUAUGCUAGCAGAGAUAAAGAUUUUUCUAUGA